AGUGAACGCUGGCGGCGUGCUUAACACAUGCAAGUCGAACGAGAACGGGUUAUAGCUUGCUAUAAUUGUCAGCUAAGUGGCGCACGGGUGAGUAAUGUAUAGGUAAUAUGCCUCUUACUAAGGGAUAACAAUUGGAAACGAUUGCUAAUACCUUAUACUCCUUAUUAACUAAAGUUAGUAAGGGAAAGAUUUAUUGGUAAGAGAUUAGCCUGUAUUGUAUCAGUUAGUUGGUGGGGUAAUGGCCUACCAAGACUAUGACGCAUAACUGGUUUGAGAGAAUGAUCAGUCACACUGGAACUGAGACACGGUCCAGACUCCUACGGGAGGCAGCAGUGGGGAAUAUUGCACAAUGGACGAAAGUCUGAUGCAGCAACGCCGCGUGGAGGAUGACACAUUUCGGUGCGUAAACUCCUUUUAUAUAAGAAGAUAAUGACGGUAUUAUAUGAAUAAGCACCGGCUAACUCCGUGCCAGCCGCCGCGGUAA
rnacentral:rRNA from 1 species